AACGAACGCUGGCGGCAUGCCUAAUACAUGCAAGUCGAACGAGACCUUCGGGUCUAGUGGCGCACGGGUGCGUAACGCGUGGGAACCUGCCCUUAGGUUCGGAAUAACUCCCCGAAAGGGGUGCUAAUACCGGAUAAUGUCUUCGGACCAAAGAUCUAUCGCCUUUGGAUGGGCCCGCGUUGGAUUAGCUAGUUGGUAGGGUAAAAGCCUACCAAGGCGACGAUCCAUAGCUGGUCUGAGAGGAUGAUCAGCCACACUGGGACUGAGACACGGCCCAGACUCCUACGGGAGGCAGCAGUGGGGAAUAUUGGACGAUGGGCGAAAGCCUGAUCCAGCAGUGCCGCGUGAGUGAUGAAGGCCUUAGGGUUGUAAAGCUCUUUUAGCCGGGAUGAUAAUGACGGUACCGGGAGAAUAAGCUCCGGCUAACUCCGUG
rnacentral:rRNA from 1 species